UUAGGAAUAUUCGUCAAUGGGGGGAACCCUGAACGAGCAAUGCCGCGUGAGUGAAGAAGGUCUUUGGAUUGUAAAACUCUGUUGUAUGGGAAGAAAUCCUAAAUUAGGAAAUGAAAUUAGGUUGACGGUACCAUACCAGAAAGCCCCGGCUAACUACGUGCCAGCAGCCGCGGUAAUACGUAGGGGGCAAGCGUUAUCCGGAUUUAUUGGGCGUAAAGCGUGCGUAGGCGGCAUGUUAAGUUUAAGAUGAAAGGCUGGGGCUCAACUCCAGUUUGUCUUAAAAACUGGCAAGCUAGAGUAUGGUAGAGGUAAAUGGAAUUUCUAGUGUAGCGGUGAAAUGCGUAGAUAUUAGAAGGAACACCAGUGGCGAAGGCGAUUUACUGGGCCAAAACUGACGCUGAGGCACGAAAGCGUGGGGAGCAAAUAGG
rnacentral:rRNA from 1 species